AUUUUCUUUUUAAAUAUUAGGCAAGGGGAAUUCCCUGGCAGUGCAGUGGUUAGAUUCCGUGCUCUCACUGUUGAGGGCCCGUGUUCAAUCCCUGGUCGGGGAACUAAGAUCCCGCAAGCCACAUGGUGCAGCCAAAAA